AUUGAACGCCGGCGGCAGGCCUAACACAUGCAAGGCGAGCGGCAGCGGGAAAGUAGCUUGCUACUUUUGCCGGCGAGCGGCGGACGGGUGAGUAAUGCCUGGGAAAUUGCCCAGUCGCGGGGGAUAACAGUUGGAAACGACUGCUAAUACCGCAUACGCCCUACGGGGGAAAGCAGGGGACCUUCGGGCCUUGCGCGAUUGGAUAUGCCCAGGUGGGAUUAGCUAGUUGGUGAGGUAAUGGCUCACCAAGGCGACGAUCCCUAGCUGGUCUGAGAGGAUGAUCAGCCACACUGGAACUGAGACACGGUCCAGACUCCUACGGGAGGCAGCAGUGGGGAAUAUUGCACAAUGGGGGAAACCCUGAUGCAGCCAUGCCGCGUGUGUGAAGAAGGCCUUCGGGUUGUAAAGCACUUUCAGCGAGGAGGAAAGGUUGAUGCCUAAUACGUAUCAACUGUGACGUUACUCGCAGAAGAAGCACCGGCUAACUCCGUGCCAGCAGCCGCGGUAA
rnacentral:rRNA from 1 species